rnacentral:rRNA from 1 species
CCUACGGGGGGCAGCAGUGGGGAAUAUUGCACAAUGGGGGAAACCCUGAUGCAGCAACGCCGCGUGAGCGAUGAAGGCCUUCGGGUCGUAAAGCUCUGUCCUAAGGGAAGAAUACUGACGGUACCUUAGGAGGAAGCCCCGGCUAACUACGUGCCAGCAGCCGCGGUAAUACGUAGGGGGCUAGCGUUAUCCGGAAUUACUGGGCGUAAAGGGUGCGUAGGCGGCCCUGCAAGUCAGGAGUUAAAUCCCUCGGCUCAACCGAGGUCGGCUCUUGAAACUGUAGGGCUUGAGUGCAGGAGAGGAGAGCGGAAUUCCUAGUGUAGCGGUGAAAUGCGUAGAUAUUAGGAAGAACACCAGUGGCGAAGGCGGCUUUCUGGACUGUAACUGACGCUGAGGCACGAAAGCGUGGGGAGCGAACAGGAUUAGAUACCCGUGUAGUC